UUGACCCAUGUGGCUUGUUACAGAAAGCAAAAGAGACUCUAUUAUCUCUGCAAGGACAAAACUAAGUUCUUAGUCAUUUUGCAAUGUUGAUAAAUUAUGUUAAACAUCAGGAAGAAAACCUGAAAUAAAACUGUUGUGUUUGCUGCUGAAGAAUCUCAGGAUAGUGUGAGAGAAAGAUCUGGAGCUUUUGAGAGAGGCCCUCAGGUCCACCUAGAGCAUAGAUCAAGUAAAGGUUAAUGUUUGAGAAAGCGUGAAAGAAUACUUACGUUUUUUCUUUUUUUCUGUUUACAUUAAAGCUCAGGGAGUAACUUCGAAUCAAGUGGAAGCAUUAUUCUGGAUGCCAUCUGCCUCAAAGAAUCAAACAAGAAGAAGACGGCGUGGCCUGUUCGUCAUUCAGAUGAGGAUCUUCUUUUCUACCUGGAUCUCUGUUGUCUCCUUUAGCACAAAUGACACAUUCUGGCCGACUAGUGUCCCGUCCUUCAAUAAAACCAAAAUCCAGAUAUCUUCUCUGGAUGGACGGUUGGCAGAAACAUCAGAGGCAGAAAAUAGAGUGAGUAAAGGACCAGAGAGUUAAGAGUAGGAAGCAGAUGGAUGGAACCAAAGAAUGAGAAAAAAAAGCCCUGAAAUGAGAGCCAAGUGAUGAGUUAGGGGCAGACAGAGAUGGAGUGAGGACAGAAAAUGAAGAAAUACAGAGUUGAUGAGUGAGGAAAUGAUGAAUGGGCUGAAAGGGAGACAGAUGGGCCCGGCUCCAUCAGUGAGCUGUGUUGCUGAGAAGUGGAAAUGAAGGAGAGCUUACCAAGUCAAAGAUACUGAUGAUGACGAUGACACACUCACAGACACACACACAUAACAAAGUGCCCAGAGGCUGGAGUCAUCCUCUUAAACACAUUUCAUUAAAAUCAAAGCAAGUAUAAUGAUGUAAAGAUUAGCAGUAAAAGCCUUUGGCUCAUUUUACGAGGACACAAACAAGUGAGUGAUUUAAUAGAACUAACACUUUCAACUGAUGUGUGUCUGCAGAGGGUUUCUACUCUACGUGUGUUUGCACCAACUCAGUACAGGGGGGGACCAGGGGUUACUGUAACACUUUUUACUCUGGGAAUUCUUCAUCAUGGACAGUAUCAUUCCCACAUUUAAGAAACGCUUCUGUUCUUAAGUGAAAGUGUAUUUCCCUGUCAGACCUGUUCUUGAGUCUCUACAGGACUUUUGUUGCUGCUGUCCAAAAGGCCUGCCUCUGUUGACUUUUCACUGUGCUGGUAUGAAACCAUUGAUAUUCUCUAGGACCUUGAUUUCCAAUGAUAAGCAAAUUUACUUCAAUCUGAACAGUCCAUUUCUUGUUCUCUUGGCCCAGGUCAGACGCUUCUGACAUUGUUUCUUGUUCGGGAGUGGUUUGGUAUUCGGACUUCAGCGGUUGUUCUCUUUCCUGUACACGUCUGUGUGUGAUGGCUCUUGAUGCACCCACAUCAGCCUCUGUCCAGUCCUUGUAAAUCUCUCCUGAGGUCUUGAACAGACUUUUAUUAACAACCUCCUCAAGGCUGCGGUCAUCCUUGCUGCUUGUUCAUCCUUUCCUAUCAUACUUUUCCCUUCCAGUCACAUUUCCAUUAAUAUGUUGUUUCAGCAAUGAGUUUCUGUAACUUACCCUCCUUGUGAGGGGUGAUGAUUAUCAUCUUCUGGACUGUUAUUGUCGUUCUGUGUGUACUAGACUAGACUGAGAGAUAUAUGAUACUUAUACUGUUUGAAUUUCAUUUAUUCACCUUUGUUGUAUCCAUUGUAUUAGCCCUGUUUUUAUCUGGUUCCUUUUAGUUCUCUGUUCUGCAUGAGCUGUUUUUAUAUAGGUUUUUACAUAGUUUUAUAGGUGCUAUUUAAUGAUAUCCUCAUUUAUUUACUUGGUCUCCUUGCUUCAGUUGUAUACUGGAUCGGGUGCGAUACUUAAUGUGUAAUACUUAAUUCUUCAAAAGGGUCAGGUGCAAUACUGAUUAAAGUGCAAUAUAAGCUAGUCACCGACAUUGACUCGGUCUGGAGGGGAAAAGUACUCGUGUGACAGUGUGGACUGGAAAGUAAUUUUUUGUGUCUUCGUUUGAUCUAGUCUAUUGUCAAACUGUGCUUCACCAUGUCUGAGUAAACAGUCUGAUGGAUGUAUGAACUGCAGCCACAGGUGGUACCAUUGUCCAAGACACAUUUCCCAAAGGGCACAAUAAAAUUUAUCCAAAUCCUUAAAAUCAAAAAGAAUUAUUCUAAUAUUUGAAGACAUGCUUUUUAAAAUAUUUUUGAGAUGUA